CUCCUGAGAAACACCUUCCCCAAUCCCACCCUCUAUUUCUACCCUGCUCCCAUCCCUCAUUAAAACCCUAUCCCCUUCCCACCCCUCCCUACCCCACCCGCCCCUCCCUCCACUCCACCCCCCAUCUCCACCUCCUCCCCGUCACCCCAGCGCCCCUUGAAAGGACCAAGACAUGAAGGUGCAGAGGCUGUUGUUCUGGCUGCUCUUGCUCUGGUGUCCCAGUUCCCCAAACCCAAAUGAAGCUGGAAAAUACACACUGUGAACUGAAGGCACAGAAGAGUCAACUGGCAGCUGCUGAGGAAAAUUUGAAACUGGUUACCGAAGAGAUAGACAAGUAUAAACAAGAAAUUGGAGAAAUGCAAGAUCAGCUACAGAAGGCAGAGCUCAACUUCAAACUCAAGGUCGCAGCUCAUGAGAGAAGUGCUCUAGAUAAUUGGGUUAAGGCUCGGUUUUGGGAGAGGAAGAUAGUGCAGCAGAGCAGGGAGAACACCUACAUGAAACACAGACUGCACAUGAUGAGGAGAGACACGCCUCCUGAGGGAUCCAUGAGGCAGGAACCGAUGCCGGGAAGAUCCGAGAUAUGGAACCGUGUGCAGAGAGAAUCUAGACCGGUUCCCAGGAUGAACAGCAGCACCAGCCCGAAAAAGGACCCGGAGAUGGCUACGAUGCAGGCUUGUUUCUGGGGAGAAAUCCUGACUCCAAUUCAGAGAAAUGGGAGCUGCAUUCAGUUGGGACACGAAUACAGGAACUGCUGUCAGAACCUUCUAGAAGGAGGAGCUGAGAUCCCACUUUCUGAGUUCUGCUGGAGCCAGAGCCCCAGGUAAAAGCACAGAGUGUCCUCCACUUAAACAUGCUUUUAUUAAUUUUCAAUCGUAUUUUUUUGCCGACAAUGUUACAGUAGUUGGAAAUGACUGAAAACUUGACCGGUACUUGAUGUCCUAAAACUUCCAUUAUUUUACUGUUAAAUUUACACCUGAAACAUGAUUUGUUAUAAUUAUCCUUUCCUGUCUUCCUUGGAAGGAAACUCAUCCAUAAUACCUUUCAAAUGUACUCAUUAUCUCAUCUCCUUUUCUU
rnacentral:lncRNA from 1 species